AUACUUAGGGUGCGAGCGUUAAUCGGAAUUACUGGGCGUAAAGCGAGUGUAGGCGGCUGUAUAAGUCGGAUGUGAAAGCCCCGGGCUCAACCUGGGAAUUGCAUUCGAAACUGUACAGCUAGAGUUUGGUAGAGGUAAGUGGAAUUCAAGGUGUAGCGGUGAAAUGCGUAGAUAUCUUGAGGAACAUCAGUGGCGAAGGCGGCUUACUGGACCAAAACUGACGCUGAGGCUCGAAAGCGUGGGGAGCAAACAGGAUUAGAAACCCGAGUAGUCC
rnacentral:rRNA from 1 species